GUGAACGCUGGCGGUAGGCCUAACCCCUGCCAGUCGAACGGCAGCACCGUAAGAGCUUGCUCUUACGGGUGGCGAGUGGCGGACGGGUGAGGAAUACAUCGGAAUCUACUUUUUCGUGGGGGAUAACGUAGGGAAACUUAAGCUAAUACCGCAUACGACCUACGGGUGAAAGCAGGGGAUCUUCGGACCUUGCGCGAUUGAAUGAGCCGAUGUCGGAUUAGCUAGUUGGCGGGGUAAAGGCCCACCAAGGCGACGAUCUGUAGCUGGUCUGAGAGGAUGAUCAGCCACACUGGAACUGAGACACGGUCCAGACUCCUACGGGAGGCAGCAGUGGGGAAUAUUGGACAAUGGGCGCAAGCCUGAUCCAGCCAUACCGCGUGGGUGAAGAAGGCCUUCGGGUUGUAAAGCCCUUUUGUUGGGAAAGAAAAGCAGCAGGUUAAUACCCCGCUGUUCUGACGGUACCCAAAGAAUAAGCACCGGCUAACUUCGUG
rnacentral:rRNA from 1 species